CCUACGGGUGGCAGCAGUGAGGAAUAUUGGUCAAUGGGCGGAAGCCUGAACCAGCCAAGUAGCGUGCAGGACGACGGCCCUAUGGGUUGUAAACCUCUUUUAUACGGGAAUAAAGCGGCUCACGUGUGGGCGUUUGCAUGUACCGGAUGAAUAAGGACCGGCUAAUUCCGUGCCAGCAGCCGCGGUAAUACGGAAGGUUCGGGCGUUAUCCGGAUUUAUUGGGUUUAAAGGGAGCGUAGGCCGCACGUCAAGCGUGCGGUUAAAUGUGCGGGCUCAACCCGGGCCCAGCCGCGCGAACUGGCGUGCUUGAGUGCGCGGGAAGCAGGCGGAAUGCGUGGUGUAGCGGUGAAAUGCUUAGAUAUGACGAAGAACCCCGAUUGCGAAGGCAGCAUGCUGCAGCGGUACUGACGCUGAUGCUCGAAAGCGUGGGUAUCGAACAGGAUUAGAUACCCUAGUAGUC
rnacentral:rRNA from 1 species